rnacentral:rRNA from 1 species
AUACGUAGGUGACAAGCGUUAUCCGGAUUUACUGGGCGUAAAGGGCGUGUAGGCGGUCUUGCAAGUCAGAAGUGAAAUUCCUGAGCUCACCUCGGGCGCUGCUUCUGAAACUGCAGGACUUGAGUGCUGGAGGGGAUAGCGGAAUUCCUAGUGGAGCGGUAAAAUGCGCAGAUAUUAGGAAGAACACCGGUGGCGAAGGCGGCUAUCUGGACAGUAACGGACGCUGAGGCGCGAAAGCGUGGGGAGCAAACAGGAUUAGAUCCCCUGGUAGUCCACGCCGUAAACGAUGAAUACUAGGUGUAGGGGGUAUCGACUCCCUCUGUGCCGCAGUUAACACAAUAAGUAUUCCGCCUGGGGAGUACGGCCGCAAGGUUGAAACUCAAAUGAAUUGGCGGGG